CAAUUGUAACAAUAUGUUGUAAUAGAAGUUAAGUAAAUGUGGCUUUUUCUCUCUCUCUCCAAAUAUCUUACUGUACUGUACUCACCUAUUUUCAAACUGCAGCUGGUCAUAGGUAACUGAAACCAUGGAAAGUGAAAUCACAGAUAAGGGGCGCCUGCUGUUUCCGCUGUGGUGAAAGCUUAUGGACCCUCACAUAGCCCAGUUCUAGAACUUAAUCCAUUCACGUGUCGUUUUUCCCUGUCAAAACACAAACUGAGCACCCUGUGUACUUUGGGAACCUCAAGAGGGUUCCAGUCUCCAGU
rnacentral:lncRNA from 1 species